UCGUGCUAGAUGGGGAGGUAGCGGUGCCUUGUAACCCGCAAUCCGCUAUAGCGGGAUCGAAGCCCAACUAAGGGCUAUCCUUGUGAGGUCUGACUUAAGCAAGUGGCGAGGAAGGCUGGGUCCUACGCAACAUAAACUUAUGAACCCCGUCAGGUCCGGGAGGAAGCAGCGGUAAGUAAGCCCUUAUGUGUGCCGUGGGAGUGCCUGGUCUGAGUUAACUGCUUGAGUAACGCUUGGAAGGUUUAGUUCGAGGUUGGGUGCACGA
rnacentral:SRP_RNA from 1 species